ACAUUUCCCAGUUGACUACUACCGGUAAUAAAAUCAAAUGGAUUCAGUGCUCACAACUCUUCAGUCUUUGGGCUACUUUCCAUUCUUGAAUUUUUAGCUGAAUUCAUCUCUUUGGCUGGAUUUUGUGAAUCGGGCAGCCAUUAGAACCAAAACAGUUCUGAGGAGCUCCCAGGCUGCAAUGUGGUGCGAAAUGUUUUAUGGACAGAAAAUGGAAAUGAGGUGCAGAAAUUGGAGGCUAAGAAUAAACUUGAAGACAAAGAGUAGAUUUUGGCCAGACACUGAUGCUAAAGUCACCCCGAUGCUGUCUUUGCUUCUAAGAUGAAAUUUCAGUCUUUAUUCAAGAUCAAGUGCAACUGUCUCUUUGAGGAAAGUCCUUUGACC
rnacentral:lncRNA from 1 species